AGGCAAAAGGAGAGUUUCGAAAAGUGAAUCAGUGCCGCUGGAGGAUGCCCUUGAUUCAUAUCGUGAUGUAAAGAUUACCAUUAAUGAUUUUAAGAAACAUAAAAAGACGUUAUACCAGCAAGACUCGACCGGAACUUUUCUACCGUUAACUAGGCAACGAAGGCCUGGUACUUAUGUCGAUAGUCUCCGUAAAGCAGAAACCCCGCCUCCUUUGGACGAGGAAUAUUUACGAAGUUCCUUAAAAUAUUCCGAGGAACGAAUCAACGGAAGAAAACUAUUGUAUAUGCAGACGGGACC